AUGGCAGAAGCGGCGGCCGUCGGCCGUCCUCGCCUCCCUGAGGAGAUCGUCACCUGGGAGAUUCUCAUCCGCCUGCCGCCGAAGCCACUCGUCCGCUGCCGCGCCGUCUGCCGCUCCUGGCACCGCCGCCUCACCUCCGACGCCAAAUUCCUCCUCGCCCACCACCGCCGCCAGCCCUCGCUCCCUCUCGUCACCACCGGAGAAACCCAUGAGAGAAGGAUCGACGCCCUGGACCACCGCACCCGCGAGCGGCGCCCUGUCGCGCGGGCGGCCACCGCCGAGGACCUCGACGUGCUCGCCUCCUGCGACGGCCUCCUCAUCCUCGUCGCCUACGGCGGCCUCCACAUCUGCAACCCGGCGACUCGCCAGCGCGCUCCUCUCCCGCUGCUUCACGCCGCCUGCAUCUCCGGGCUGUACCCUCACCGCCCAUCGGGGUCGUACCGAGUGCUGUGCUGCUUGAAGAGAGCCGAGGACGACCGUGCCGUGUACCACGUGCACACCGUCGGAUCCGACGAGCUCAGGUGCGUCGGGCAGCCUCUCGAUCCGUGGGCGUCCGGGCAUCAGGUGCAUGCGCUGCCGAUGAUGCUCUCUUGGCACCCGCUCGUGCUGGCAGACGGCAGAUUUUACUGGCACCCCGUGCAUUUGCCUGGUGGCAGCGGCAAGGUCAACGACAUGCUGGUGUUCGACACCGUGGCCGAGUCUUUCCAGCAUAUGAUUUCCCCCGUUGAGGGCCCCCUUCUUGAGCUGUUUGAGAUGAAUGACACCCUUGGAUUGUAUGCCUUCCGUGGUGGCACAGCUGAUCUUUGGGUGCUGCAGGAUCACCACAGCUGGGCCUGGUCAAUGAAGCACCGGAUCAAAUUGCAGGUGGUGGCCUUCUCUCUAGUGCCGGACAUCCAAGGAGAUUUGCUCCUCCUUUCUCGAAAGGGGAAGACAGGCAUUCGGUGGCAAUAUCUGCAGUAUAUUUCUGGUGCCGAUGGCAGUUUGUCCACACGGUAUGAAUGGAGCGUGUUUCUGAAUCUUAAGAAACAUAGGUUCAGAGAAAGCCUUGUUCCGCAUUCCUUCUUCUUGAUGGAUGGCAAUAAUGAUGGUGGUGUGGAUGAAAAGCCGUUGUUCGACGGGUUGUCAACUGUGGCGGUGCUUCCUGAUGAUAAUUCUGAGCUUCACUACGGAACCCGUGAUGGACAAGUCCGGUGA
rnacentral:rRNA from 1 species